rnacentral:rRNA from 1 species
UACGUAGGGGGCGAGCGUUGUCCGAAUUUACUGGGCGUAAAGCGCGUGUAGGCGGCUCUUUAAGUCAGGUGUGAAAUCCUGCGGCUCAACCGCAGAACUGCAUCUGAAACUGGAGAACUUGAGUUUGGGAGAGGAGAGUGGAAUUCCUGGUGUAGCGGUGAAAUGCGUAGAUAUCAGGAGGAACACCCGUGGCGAAGGCGGCUCUCUGGCCCAAUACUGACGCUGAGACGCGAAAGCUAGGGGAGCGAACGGG